ACCACCCAUCCCUCCUUCCCUCCCUCCCUAUUGAUUCAGUGAAACUUUGAAAAUCUAAAAUCUCAUCACCGUCAAACUCCACGAACGACGAAUGAUGACAACCAAUGACCACCACAACAACUCCACGAAUGAUGAAUGGCGAAGAGUUCUCUCAUCGGCGAACGACAAUAAUCUGGAUUAAUUAACCAUCACGAGCCCAUGAACGACGAACGGCGACGCUUCAGUUCUUCAAUCCUCAACUGCUCCAUGACCGCUAGUACACCGCCAAUUCAGCAAGAUGCAGAUGCAGGCCUGAAUUGUUGUGCUUAUUCAGUAGCACUAUAGCAGAUUGAAGAAGUUUGGACUUUGGAGAUCUAAAUUUUGAAGCGGGGUGUUUUAACUUUUAAGAUGGUUGAAGAAGACUUUUUUUAUUUGUAAAUGUUUUCACUUUUUAAUUAUCCCAAUGUUUUUAUUGAUGAGUAUUGAGUAAUGUAUAAUUGAAUACUUUAUGUUUUGAUUUCAUAUUCUGGAUUCAGCAUUUGCAAAUAGUUAA